GCGUCCGUAGCUCAGUUGGAUAGAGCAACGGCCUUCUAAGCCGUGGGUCAGGGGUUCGAAUCCCUUCGGACGCGCCA
rnacentral:tRNA from 1 species